rnacentral:lncRNA from 1 species
AAUUCUAAGGAUGAUUUCAGUUCCUCAUAAAUAAUUCGCGAGUUAUCAACAAAUAUACAUGUCUAGCAGUUCACAAUUACUUUAUCAUUGUAUAAUUGCAGCCUGCGUAAGUAUGUGAACAACUGUGCCAAUAAUAGUUAAUGCGAUAAUAAGUAAUGAGUUUGAACUAUACAAUAUAGAAGUAACAUAUUUAGGGACAUUUUACUGAUAAAAUACCAAAUCAGGAGCAAAUCUCUAAGUAACAACAACAACAAACUCAGUGAAAUCACACAAGUGGGGUCUGGAGAGGGUAGUGUAUACGCAGACCUUACCCCUACCUUAUGAAGGUAGAGAGGCAAGGAGCAGAUCUCUAAGUAUUCUCAAAACUUAUACAAUGUGCACUUCUGCACGCGACAAACCAAUAUAACAUGAGUAUAGUGAUUAUCCUUCAACAACUUUUACAGCAGUUCUGCACCAAAAAAAGAAGAAGAAAAGAAUGUACAGUAAAUACAUCAAAUGCUGAGGAUAAUGAAGCUAAGUAUUGAAGUUCAAUCAAAGAAAUAAGUCCAUUAACUUUUUUGAAUGUUUUAAAAGCUGACUACUCACCCGAAUGGGCUUUGUUUAAUAGAAAGCAGUUCAAUAUCAAUCUGUAGAUUAAAAAAUAAAAAGGUGAGAAGUAAUAAAAAUACAAUAGCCGUAUAAUAAUGUUAAAGAUAUAAAGACGUCCAUUUCGAGAAUAAGAAAAUAAUGACAGAUUGAUCUUGCAAAAAGGCAUAUGAUAAAUUUCU